ensembl:lncRNA
AUGCUAAAGAAGGCAGGAAAAAACACCGCGCCGAGGCCACUUACCGAGCCGAGGGACCUAGAUUCCCGCCGCUCUGCUCGCCCGAACGGUCGGUCCGCCCUCCACGCACCCCGAGGCUGCACCCAGCACCCCCAAAAGUCGAGACGUGUAGGAAUAUGGUUAAGGAGCCAGGAGACCCUCCAAGUUGCUCCGGGCUCCCGGGAACCUCAACGUCCAAGACACAACUUGGCCAAGACUUGUGCCACAGUCACCGGAGAUGUUUCUGCGGAGACCCUCCUCGGGCGGGCAGAGACAGCGCUCAGCGGCGCCCCGCUCGCCUCCUCUCCACCCCCUCACCUCCAGCCCGCCUCCGGCCGGCCGCCCGCCCCCGGGCCGCUAGCCCCUCGGGCGGCUGUCAGCUCCCGGCCGCCGCCGGGUGACAGGGGCGGGUGGAGGGCGCGACGCGGCGGCCCGAGCCCGAGCGGGCGAGGGGGAUCCUCGCAGCAGCAGCAGAGGCGGCCGCUCACCUGGAAAGUCACCGCUGAGAAGGAGGAGGAGGAGGAGGACGGAGAGAAGGAGGAGGAAGAGGAGGGAGAGGAGGAGGGGGAGGAAACCCCCCUGGUGCCCUUGUUCUCGCUGCCGCGGCGGCCGCUCCUCGCCAAGGCUGAGCGUGUCUGGUGGGGGGUGUCUGGUAGCAUUUCCUUAAGGACAGAGGGAGGGCGGGUGCGGAGGGAGGGAAGCGAUCCCGACCGCCUGCCCAGGCUCCUCUGUCCUUUUAUUUAUUUUUCUGACACUGUACGGAGAUGGGCCCGGGGCAGGGGCCACCGGGCUCGGGAGGGAGCCGCGAGGCCCGGGCCGCAGCCGUCUGCGUGCGGGAGCCGCAGCGGCCGCCUCCCCUCCCGGUCUGUGGACGCACCGGGUUAUUCCUGGCAGCGCCUCCCCGAACAGAAGUUACUAGGAGGAGUGCGCGGCGAGGGCGGGCGGGGGGGGAGAGGCGGAGAGAGGGAGGGAGGAAGAGGGAGAGACUCAGCCAGCGACGUCAUCGGAUCCCCCAGCGCGUCCCAGGGAGGGAGGCUGAACCAGAAAAACCAGUCUGGAGCCGGCGAGCGGAGUGGGUUGAGCGGCUCGCGGGGCGACGGGGCAGGGAGGCGACCGCUAGGGCAGGGCCGGGCCCCCGCGCGGCCGCUCCGGGCGGGAAGACCGCGGCCGCGCUCUUGCUCGCUUGGAUCGGGGAUCUCCCCCGGAGGGCUGGUCUCUACUUGUCAUGCAGAAAAAAAACUUGGGCGUCUCUGGGAGCCUGAGAAUUUCCUUUAG